UUGAACGCUGGCGGCAUGCUUUACACAUGCAAGUCGAACGGUAACAGGCCUUCGGGUGCUGACGAGUGGCGAACGGGUGAGUAAUGCAUCGGAACGUGCCCAAUCGUGGGGGAUAACGUAGCGAAAGUUACGCUAAUACCGCAUACGCCCUGAGGGGGAAAGCAGGGGAUCUUCGGACCUUGUGCGAAUGGAGCGGCCGAUGUCAGAUUAGCUAGUUGGUGGGGUAAAGGCCCACCAAGGCGACGAUCUGUAGCGGGUCUGAGAGGAUGAUCCGCCACACUGGGACUGAGACACGGCCCAGACUCCUACGGGAGGCAGCAGUGGGGAAUUUUGGACAAUGGGCGCAAGCCUGAUCCAGCCAUGCCGCGUGCGGGACGAAGGCCUUCGGGUUGUAAACCGCUUUCAGCCGGAAAGAAAUCGGGCGCGUGAAUAGCGUGCCUGGAUGACGGUACUGUCAGAAGAAGCACCGGCUAACUACGU
rnacentral:rRNA from 1 species